GGGGCUGUAGCUCAGUUGGUAGAGCGCCAGCUUUGCAAGCUGGAUGUCGUCGGUUCGACCCCGAUCAGCUCCA
rfam:Anaeromyxobacter dehalogenans 2CP-C, complete genome.